GACGAACGCUGGCGGCGUGCUUAACACAUGCAAGUCGAACGAGGUCCAUGGAGUAGCAAUACUCCGGAAGACCUAGUGGCGAACGGGUGCGUAACACGUGAGGAACUUGUCCCGGUCUCUGGGAUAACAGUUGGAAACGACUGCUAAUACCGGAUGACGUCGGAGCGUCGCAUGGCGCGCUGACGAAAGGGUUACUGGAUCGGGAGAGCCUCGCGGCCUAUCAGCUUGUUGGUGGGGUAACGGCCUACCAAGGCAUCGACGGGUAGCUGGUCUGAGAGGAUGAUCAGCCACACUGGGACUGAGACACGGCCCAGACUCCUUCGGGAGGCAGCAGUGGGGAAUCUUGCGCAAUGGGCGAAAGCCUGACGCAGCAACGCCGCGUGCGGGAAGAAGGCUCUCGGGUUGUAAACCGCUUUCAGCAGGAACGAAAAUGACGGUACUUGCAGAAGAAGGUGCGGCCAACUACGUGCCAGCCGCCGCCGUAAGAC
rnacentral:rRNA from 1 species